GGAGAGUUGUCCGAGCUGGUCGAAGGAGCACGAUUGGAAAUCGUGUAAGCUGCUAAAACGGCUUCGAGGGUUCGAAUCCCUUGCUCUCCGCCA
rnacentral:tRNA from 1 species